rnacentral:rRNA from 1 species
ACGGAGGAUCCGAGCGUUAUCCGGAUUUAUUGGGUUUAAAGGGUGCGUAGGCGGCCUUUUAAGUCAGCGGUGAAAGUCUGUGGCUCAACCAUAGAAUUGCCGUUGAAACUGGGGGGCUUGAGUAUGUUUGAGGCAGGCGGAAUGCGUGGUGUAGCGGUGAAAUGCUUAGAUAUCACGCAGAACCCCGAUUGCGAAGGCAGCCUGCCAAGCCAUGACUGACGCUGAUGCACGAAAGCGUGGGGAUCAAACAGGAUUAGAUACCCUGGUAGUCCACGCAGUAAACGAUGAUCACUAGCUGUUUGCGAUACAGUGUAAGCGGCACAGCGAAAGCGUUAAGUGAUCCACCUGGGGAGUACGCCGGCAACGGUGAAACUCAAAGGAAUUGACGGGGGCCCGCACAAGCGGAGGAACAUGUGGUUUAAUUCGAUGAUACGCGAGGAACCUUACCCGGGUUUGAACGCAUUCGGACCGAGGUGGAAACACCUUUUCUAGCAAUAGCCGUUUGCGAGGUGCUGCAUGGUUGUCGUCAGCUCGUGCCGUGAGGUGUCGGCUUAAGUGCCAUAACGAGCGCAACCCUUGCCACUAGUUACUAACAGGUAAAGCUGAGGACUCUGGUGGGACUGCCAGCGUAAGCUGCGAGGAAGGCGGGGAUGACGUCAAAUCAGCACGGCCCUUACAUCCGGGGCGACACACGUGUUACAAUGGCGUGGACAAAGGGAAGCCACCUGGCGACAGGGAGCGAAUCCCCAAACCACGUCUCAGUUCGGAUCGGAGUCUGCAACCCGACUCCGUGAAGCUGGAUUCGCUAGUAAUCGCGCAUCAGCCAUGGCGC